GAUUAAGUUAUUAAGGGCGCACGGUGGAUGCCUUGGCACUAGAAGCCGAUGAAGGACGUUACUAACGACGAUAUGCUUUGGGGAGCUGUAAGUAAGCUUUGAUCCAGAGAUUUCCGAAUGGGGAAACCCAGCAUGAGUUAUGUCAUGUUAUCGAUAUGUGAAUACAUAGCAUAUCAGAAGGCACACCCGGAGAACUGAAACAUCUUAGUACCCGGAGGAAGAGAAAGAAAAUUCGAUUCCCUUAGUAGCGGCGAGCGAAACGGGAAGAGCCCAAACCAACAAGCUUGCUUGUUGGGGUUGUAGGACACUCUAUACGGAGUUACAAAGGACGACAUUAGACGAAUCAUCUGGAAAGAUGAAUCAAAGAAGGUAAUAAUCCUGUAGUCGAAAAUGUUGUCUCUCUUGAGUGGAUCCUGAGUACGACGGAGCACGUGAAAUUCCGUCGGAAUCUGGGAGGACCAUCUCCUAAGGCUAAAUACUCUCUAGUGACCGAUAGUGAACCAGUACCGUGAGGGAAAGGUGAAAAGCACCCCGGAAGGGGAGUGAAAUAGAACCUGAAACCGUGUGCUUACAAGUAGUCAGAGCCCGUUAAUGGGUGAUGGCGUGCCUUUUGUAGAAUGAACCGGCGAGUUACGAUUUGAUGCAAGGUUAAGCAGUAAAUGUGGAGCCGUAGCGAAAGCGAGUCUGAAUAGGGCGUUUAGUAUUUGGUCGUAGACCCGAAACCAGGUGAUCUACCCUUGGUCAGGUUGAAGUUCAGGUAACACUGAAUGGAGGACCGAACCGACUUACGUUGAAAAGUGAGCGGAUGAACUGAGGGUAGCGGAGAAAUUCCAAUCGAACCUGGAGAUAGCUGGUUCUCUCCGAAAUAGCUUUAGGGCUAGCCUCAAGUGAUGAUUAUUGGAGGUAGAGCACUGUUUGGACGAGGGGCCCCUCUCGGGUUACCGAAUUCAGACAAACUCCGAAUGCCAAUUAAUUUAACUUGGGAGUCAGAACAUGGGUGAUAAGGUCCGUGUUCGAAAGGGAAACAGCCCAGACCACCAGCUAAGGUCCCAAAAUAUAUGUUAAGUGGAAAAGGAUGUGGCGUUGCCCAGACAACUAGGAUGUUGGCUUAGAAGCAGCCAUCAUUUAAAGAGUGCGUAAUAGCUCACUAGUCGAGUGACACUGCGCUGAAAAUGUACCGGGGCUAAACAUAUUACCGAAGCUGUGGAUUGUCCUUUGGACAAUGGUAGGAGAGCGUUCUAAGGGCGUUGAAGCAUGAUCGUAAGGACAUGUGGAGCGCUUAGAAGUGAGAAUGCCGGUGUGAGUAGCGAAAGACGGGUGAGAAUCCCGUCCACCGAUUGACUAAGGUUUCCAGAGGAAGGCUCGUCCGCUCUGGGUUAGUCGGGUCCUAAGCUGAGGCCGACAGGCGUAGGCGAUGGAUAACAGGUUGAUAUUCCUGUACCACCUAUAAUCGUUUUAAUCGAUGGGGGGACGCAGUAGGAUAGGCGAAGCGUGCGAUUGGAUUGCACGUCUAAGCAGUAAGGCUGAGUAUUAGGCAAAUCCGGUACUCGUUAAGGCUGAGCUGUGAUGGGGAGAAGACAUUGUGUCUUCGAGUCGUUGAUUUCACACUGCCGAGAAAAGCCUCUAGAUAGAAAAUAGGUGCCCGUACCGCAAACCGACACAGGUAGUCAAGAUGAGAAUUCUAAGGUGAGCGAGCGAACUCUCGUUAAGGAACUCGGCAAAAUGACCCCGUAACUUCGGGAGAAGGGGUGCUCUUUAGGGUUAACGCCCAGAAGAGCCGCAGUGAAUAGGCCCAAGCGACUGUUUAUCAAAAACACAGGUCUCUGCUAAACCGUAAGGUGAUGUAUAGGGGCUGACGCCUGCCCGGUGCUGGAAGGUUAAGAGGAGUGGUUAGCUUCUGCGAAGCUACGAAUCGAAGCCCCAGUAAACGGCGGCCGUAACUAUAACGGUCCUAAGGUAGCGAAAUUCCUUGUCGGGUAAGUUCCGACCCGCACGAAAGGCGUAACGAUUUGGGCACUGUCUCAACGAGAGACUCGGUGAAAUCAUAGUACCUGUGAAGAUGCAGGUUACCCGCGACAGGACGGAAAGACCCCGUGGAGCUUUACUGUAGCCUGAUAUUGAAAUUCGGCACAGCUUGUACAGGAUAGGUAGGAGCCUUUGAAACGUGAGCGCUAGCUUACGUGGAGGCGCUGGUGGGAUACUACCCUAGCUGUGUUGGCUUUCUAACCCGCACCACUUAUCGUGGUGGGAGACAGUGUCAGGCGGGCAGUUUGACUGGGGCGGUCGCCUCCUAAAAGGUAACGGAGGCGCUCAAAGGUUCCCUCAGAAUGGUUGGAAAUCAUUCAUAGAGUGUAAAGGCAUAAGGGAGCUUGACUGCGAGACCUACAAGUCGAGCAGGGUCGAAAGACGGACUUAGUGAUCCGGUGGUUCCGCAUGGAAGGGCCAUCGCUCAACGGAUAAAAGCUACCCCGGGGAUAACAGGCUUAUCUCCCCCAAGAGUUCACAUCGACGGGGAGGUUUGGCACCUCGAUGUCGGCUCAUCGCAUCCUGGGGCUGUAGUCGGUCCCAAGGGUUGGGCUGUUCGCCCAUUAAAGCGGUACGCGAGCUGGGUUCAGAACGUCGUGAGACAGUUCGGUCCCUAUCCGUCGUGGGCGUAGGAAAUUUGAGAGGAGCUGUCCUUAGUACGAGAGGACCGGGAUGGACAUACCUCUGGUGUACCAGUUGUCGUGCCAACGGCAUAGCUGGGUAGCUAUGUGUGGACGGGAUAAGUGCUGAAAGCAUCUAAGCAUGAAGCCCCCCUCAAGAUGAGAUUUCCCAACUUCGGUUAUAAGAUCCCUCAAAGAUGAUGAGGUUAAUAGGUUCGAGGUGGAAGCAUGGUGACAUGUGGAGCUGACGAAUACUAAUCGAUCGAAGACUUAAUCAA
rnacentral:rRNA from 1 species